UACGUAGGGACCAAGCGUUGUUCGGAUUUACUGGGCGUAAAGGGCGCGUAGGCGGCGCAACAAGUCACUUGUGAAAUCUCCGGGCUUAACCCGGAACGGCCAAGUGAAACUGUUGUGCUAGAGUGCGGAAGGGGCAAUCGGAAUUCUCGGUGUAGCGGUGAAAUGCGUAGAUAUCGAGAGGAACACCUGAGGUGAAGACGGGUUGCUGGGCCGACACUGACGCUGAGUGCGCGAAAGCCAGGGGAGCAAACGGG
rnacentral:rRNA from 1 species